rnacentral:rRNA from 1 species
UACGAAGGGGGCUAGCGUUGCUCGGAAUUACUGGGCGUAAAGGGCGCGUAGGCGGACAUUUAAGUCAGGGGUGAAAUCCCGGGGCUCAACCUCGGAAUUGCCUUUGAUACUGGGUGUCUUGAGUAUGAGAGAGGUAUGUGGAACUCCGAGUGUAGAGGUGAAAUUCGUAGAUAUUCGGAAGAACACCAGUGGCGAAGGCGACAUACUGGCUCAUUACUGACGCUGAGGCGCGAAAGCGUGGGGAGCAAACAGG